rnacentral:rRNA from 1 species
GGGGACAGCGGCAAACGGGGUAGUCAUACACAGGUUACGUACCCUCAGGUCCGGGAUAGCCACGGGAAACUGUGAGUAAUACCGGAUGACCCCGCAGUUGUUGAUCAACCGCGGGCAAAGGUGAGAUUCCGCCAGAGGAGCGGCUUGUGCGAUAUCAGCUAGCUGGUGAGGUAACGGCUCACCAGGGCUUAGACGUCCAGGGGGUGUGAGAGCAUGGCCCCCACCACCGGAACUGAGACACUGUCCGGACACCUACGGGUGGCUGCAGCCGAGAAUCUUUGGCAAUGCGCGAAAGCGUGACCAAGCGACGCCGCGUGCGGGAUGAAGGCCUUCGGGUUGUAAACCGCUGUCAGAGGGGAUGAAAUCAUUGGGGGUACUCCCCCUUUGUUGACAGAGCCUCAGAGGAAGCGCGGGCUAAGUUCGUGCCAGCAGCCGCGGUAACACGAACUGCGCAAACGUUAUUCGGAAUCACUGGGCUUAAAGGGUGCGUAGGCGGACUGUUAAGUAGGGCGUGAAAUCUGUCGGCUCAACCGGCAGACUGCGUUCUAAACUGGCAGUCUUGAGCGAGUCAGGGGUGUGCGGAACUUCCGGUGGAGCGGUGAAAUGUGUUGAUAUCGGAAGGAACGCCGGUGGCGAAAGCGGCACACUGGGGCUUGUCUGACGCUGAGGCACGAAAGCCAGGGGAGCGAACAGGAUUAGAUACCCUGGUAGUCCUGGCUGUAAACGAUGAAUACUGGGUUGGGGGGACUUGUUCCUCCCAGCCGUAGCGAAAGCGUUAAGUAUUCCGCCUGGGGAGUAUGGUCGCAAGGCUGAAACUCAAAGGAAUCGACGGGGGCUCACACAAGCGGUGG